ACGGAGCUGAAAUCCUCGCCUCCCCGCCCCAGCAGAACAACUACCGCAACCACAAAAUCAACCUUUUCUACGGCUACAGACACUGCCAGCCAUAACAUAGCACUGGAAAUAAUCCAUAUUAGACAGAUUUUUUAAUGUUUAUAGGCCUAUAACGAACCAAUAGACCUGUGAGGUAACUGAUUUACGAUUUAACGAAAGCAUUUCGUUCCAGGGAUCAAAAUGCCUCUCAUGUUGCCAUCACAGGGGACGUCAGCUGCAUCCUGUGUAGCACUACUGGUAAUUGCGGCUUCCACUGUCUCCUCAAUGGAUGUACUCGUGGCCCAGCAAAUCAAUGCUCUGAAUGGCACAAUGGUCAGGAUCUCCUGCAGCUUCACUUCCUGCUACAGACUAGACCCCACCAAGUUUGCUAUGAACUGGACAUAUCAGGAGACUUUAAAUGACACAGAGGAGAUGUUUAUGACCUUUAAGAACAAAAUAACUCCUUUGAGGACAGAUCGCUUUGGGGACCGGGUAAAGUUUGCUGGGAAUCUGGACAAAAAUGACCUCUCCAUCACCAUCUCAGAUGUGCAGCUAACAGAUGAGGGAAUCUACAACUGCUACGUGCGUAAUCCUCCUGAUCGCAUCCAGGGCCAUGGUAUCAUCCAGCUGUCUGUUGUCACUGAGUUGCCUCCUCCACGGGACUCGACCAUUGCAGUGGCGAUUGGAGCAUCUAUAGGAGGUAUGCUGGCUCUGGUUAUUCUGUCCAUGGUGGUGGUGAAGUGUGUGCGCAGGCACAAGAAACAAGAGCUCAUCUCCGAUGAACAGAAGAUGGAAGAGGAGGGCAAAACAGAUGGAGAAGGGGGUACAGAAGAGGGCACCAAACAACUCUAACCUGGCUGCUCGACCUGGAAGGCCGAAAGUUUGUUGGAGCCCUGACGCUCACAUGCUGAAAUGUAUGCGCCCUGCCUGAAAAUGUAUAUUGAAAUCUGCUUGACUCAUCGUCCUGUGACUGCAUCGCUGCCCAUCCUACGGCACUGUCCUUUCUUGCCUGUGCCAUCAAACAUGUCCGAUUUUGAAAAAACUCAGCCACUGCCACACCUGGGUAUGAGUGCAUUGAGAAGAAACUACAGUGCAGAUCUCCAAACUGCAGAUUCUUCCAUUUGACACUAAGGUUUACAGUAGUAAGAAAGCCAAUGAUCUAAACUACACUUUUUCUGGGACCAUCUUUUGAAACUUUUAGUGUUGUGUCCUCAAACUACUGCCAACUCAUUUGCUGUGUGAUGUUUUAAGAGAUUAUCUUGGGGAGAGGUAUGUUGUUAUUGUCUUUUUGAUCACUGAUUAUUGAUAAAGACAAAGCACACUAUUCCUAAUACUGCCAAAUAUAUUACUAGUUUGAUGAUGUUUCUGGAUAUCAAAACAGUCUUUUAUUUGUUCUUCUGGUCUGGUGUAAAAAAGCUCUCAGAUUCUGUCUCUCUCUUUCUCUGUGAGUCCAUUUGCAAAAGAGAGUGUGUAUAUGUAUAUAUGUGUGUGUGUGUGUGUGUGUGUGUGGGUGUGUGUGUGUGUGUGUGUAAUAUUUGUGUGAAAUAUAAAGGAAUAGUUCAGUCAAAAAGGUAAAGUAGCUAACAAUGAAUGAAUGCAAAUAGCCACCACCUAUUGUUAUGCAAAUGACAUAGUGCUAAUUGGAGCCCACCAGCUUCUAUUCAUUGUUAUCUAUGUUAGUUUCUUUGGUCAAUCUGCUCCUUUAAAGAAAUAUUCAGUCAUAUGUAAAAGUUAGAACACUCCCGUUCAAAUGACAUGUUUUGUUAAUGUUUUCUAAAUGAAAAUG